CCUACGGGAGGCAGCAGUGGGGAAUAUUGCACAAUGGGGGAAACCCUGAUGCAGCCACGCCGCGUGAAGGAAGACGGUUUUCGGAUUGUAAACUUCUGUUCUUAGUGAGGAAUAAUGACGGCAGCUAAGGAGACAGCCACGGCUAACUACGUGCCAGCAGCCGAGGUAAUACGCAGGUGUCAAGCGAUGCCCGGAAUUACUGGGUGUAACGGGAGUUCAGGCGGGAAGCGAAAUCAUCUGUGAAAACUACGGGCUUAACUUGUAGACUGCAGUUGAAACUGGUUUUCUCGAGUGAAGUAGAGGUUGGCGGAAUGCGGGGUGUAGCGGUGAAAUGCGUAGAUAUUCGGAAGAACACCGAUGGCGAAGGCAGCUAACUGGGCUUUAACUGACGCUGAGGCACGAAAGUGUGGGUAGCAAACAGGAUUAGAUACCCGAGUAGUC
rnacentral:rRNA from 1 species